CUCUUCCCGGGAGCAAUUGGCAGAAGUGUUUUUAACGCGGAGAGCUGCCCUUCUGCUUUCUCCGCGGGCGAGGGCUCAGCGCAACACUCGGACAACCAGAGAGCGCAGCCAGCACCCCGGGAUUAACCCGCACCCUCCAGGAGCGGCACCGGGGAAGUCGGCGGGGAGGGGAGCGGGACGCUGCCGGGUCCCGCGAGGCGGGACGGGCCGAUCAAGUGCGGCGGGCCCCUCCCGCUCCGCUCCGCUCCCCGCGGAGGGAGCGGCGGCCGCGCUGCUCCUAACGCGGCCUGACAGGCGCGGCCGCCCCGCCGCUCCCCCCGCACCGCCCGCGCUGACAUCACCGGCCAGGAUUUAAAUAGCUCCGCAGCCGCUGCCUCCCGGAUACAGCGCUCCCCAUUGGUCGCCGCCGCAGCCAAUGGCCGCGCCGCGCCGCUGAGCUCCGCCAAUGGCGGGGCCGCGGCCGGCGCGCGCCUCCCCUGUCGCUAAGGGAGGGAAAUACAGCGCGCGCGGCGGGCUGUCAGCUCUCCGGCGGCCGCGUCUCCCGAGCGGUGAAAUGCAGGACGAGCGGCCCCGCCGUGCUGUUUUCUCCUCGGGGAGAGCUCGAAACGAGAGAGAAAGAGAGAGAGAGAGAGCGAGAGAGCGAUCGGUGGUGACUCGGGGGCUGGCCGGGCUCCUGCUGGGGCUCGGCGGCCGCAGACAGUGGAUUUGUGGGAAGAGGACGGGAUGAGAAAUAAACGCACCUGGCCAGCGGUGUUUAGGGGAGCGGGGGCCGGGUGCCCCCGCUGGCUGCCGGAGCCCCUGGACUCCGGACGCGGACCCGCCGAGCUGCAAUGGACGCUGCCCGCCGCUGGCCGCAGAGCGGAGCAUCCCCGCCGCCGCCGCCGCCGAGGAGGGAGAGCUGCCCGCCCGGAGCCGGCCCGCAGCGCGCCCCUCGCCCCAAGAGGGACCCGGAGUUUCCUCUUCGGCAUCGCUCCGGUGACCGCGGGCUGUGCCAGCCGGCCGCCCAGAUAGGUUGCGUGGCAGCCACGGCGCGAGCGAAUAGAACUCCUUGGAUGUGUCGGAAGUAAGCGCCGGGAGCAUUUGGUGAUCUUUGUGGGAGGAAGGCACAAGCCACCCAGGCCCUGUUCCCUCCAUCUUGAGCCUUCCAUGGUGAUUUGCAGCAGCACAGGGAAGUAUGAAGCACUGAGGGACAGAAGUCAGUGUUUAAACCUGACUUCACUUCAGCAUUAACGACCACGCAAGUUUCACAUAACAGAGGACCAGGGCUAGCAUAGCAGAAGUACUUAAGGUGCCUCUUUUAAAAGUUCUCUUUUGCAUAUCUAAAGAUUAGGGAGCUGUUUAGAAAAGAUGAUUAUACAAGUGUUUUAAUUUACUGUCCUAACAGAGGAUGAUGAUCCGCAUUAUCUUACAUGCAUCUUCGGUGAAUCUGUAUCACCAUAUAGAUUUCAGGGGAGCUGUAUUUAUUUAAGUUAGUAAAGAAACCCAGUGAAGUUUUAAAUAAUUGGAAUAAUAUUCUCCCUCUCUUUCAGUCAGAUUUGCCCUUCAUGUUACUUGUGUUUCAUAAUCCUCCUAGUCCUCCAUUUCGUCAUUACAAGACCAGCAUCUCUACUGUAAAAAAAAAAAAAAGAGAGGACAACCCCCCCCCCCAGAAGAAAAAAAGGUCUUUUUACAAUCUUCUUAUAAUUUACAAUUAUAUCAAUGUUUAAAUAAAUUUAGGGCACAAACUGAUCCUAGUUUUUUAAUAGGCCUAUUUAGUUUCAUUUACUUACACAGGUAUUUUUUUGGAACCAGAAGCUCUCAGGAAGAGAAUGUGUUCAAUGCAGCAAUACCCUUUAGGGUUUUGAUAAAAGACAUGAUAUCAUGAGUAUCAUCACCACUUCUGUUAUUCUUCUUAUAUAGUAGCGACAAGAUUGAGUCACCAUUUUUAGCUAUUCUUCAGCAGAACUCGUAAUCUAUCAAUGUGUCAGCUCAACAGCAGUUUUCUCUUCACACUAAUGUGAACCAGAAGGUCCAGCUAUCACUGAUUUUGACAAUUUUAUUUUAUCUGAGAUUGCAUGUAUUGCAGAAGUUUUAAGCAGAUGAAUUAUAGGGCCUGUUAUAUUUUCCUAAAGAUGUACAAAACAUAGAAUACAUCACCUAAAACAUUUCAAACUAAUUUGUACCUGAUAACAUUCCUAUGUUUGGUGUUUCAUAAGCCUUACGAUAGAAGCACUGUGGAAUAUUUGUCUGAUAAAUAACAAGAAUGAGAUCAAAUGUGGGUUCUGUAGUUUUUUUGAAUGCCUCACAUUGCCCUCUCUGUUGUUACAUAAUGCAUCAUAAAGAAAUACGUGCCUUCAUUCUCUUUAAAUCACUCCGGCAUGGAUGGUACUAAGCCUUCCUUCAAGUCCUCGUUAUGCAAGUCCUUGCUACUGCUAAUAGCUGUCAGGUCUGCAUGGUUACUUAAAAAACAAGGUAACUGCAGACUUUUUGUGAAGCUCCUUACAUUUCUGGAAUUUUCAGUGAGGUGAUUCCAGGUGUGUUGCUCUCUUUCUCAGCUAUAAACUAAAUUAUUAUGAACAAACAGGUUUUCCCUCGUUAGAAUAAAGUCCCAUUCAUUCCAGUACAUCAGAAGGUAACCAGUUUUUUUGUUGAGUUGCCUCUACAAGCAUGUUACAAGUAUCUGAUGCACUUCAGUGUCAAAACAGUGAAAUAGACCAGAAUGCAGUAAUAUUUUGAACGUCUGUUGGAGAAUGCAGGCAUAUAACUAAGUACUGUAAAAAUACAUAGCACAGUGAAAAAUCCAUGACCAAUCUAGUAAAGCUAUUAGGUAACAAAAAAAAUCCAUAUGGGCAUUAAGUACUAUUAUUUAAAGUAAAAUCUGUGUUAUACAGUACAAGCAGCAUUCAAGUGAAAUUGAUGAGACAUCUCUAUAGAACAGAAAGAAUCAUUUUUUAAAGCUAUGAUACGACGUUCUGUAUUUACUUGGAAAGUGGAAUUUUACUUGUGGUUUUGUAAAGGUAUAAAAUUAACAACAAGCACUUCAGAGAAUUAGGAGCACUACCUGAUUUGUGGGAUUUUUUUUCCCCCUCUAUAAAACACAGAGAUCAUUGGCAGGAAAAAAUCAGGAAAAACCUGUCUGGGUUUUCCAAUAUCAUGUAGAUCUUUUUGAGUACCCUGUCCUUUAACAUAGUCUUGGUUUUAAAGAGACUGAAAUAGGAAUAUCUCAAAAUUCAUCGUACUGACUAUAUAUGAAAAAAUUUUGCUUUUCUUUUAUACUGGUAGAAUAUGCAAGUACUAAUUCAGCAGUCACCAGGAAAGGAGGGUUUGUUUCAUAUUCCGUUAGUAGAUCUAUUAAUUUAACAAUCCUUUAUUGCAUUUCUACAGUUUUUUUACCUUUUCAUUGCUUUUGUAAAUUUGAGGUACUAACUUAUUUGUUUAUUUCCAUUUUCCUACUUCUAAUUAUUUUGAAAGGUUCAAUUAUAAUCUCUUCAGGUCUUGGAGUGACACAUGGAAAAUAUAUUUUUUUCAUUCCUUUUGCAAGCAGUAGGUUGGUGGGAGGAGGUCUGCACUGUAAAAUAGUGUACCUAUGAAAUUGUACUCCAGUGGGAGAUUAAAUAAGAAAGAGCAGGAUGACUGAGACAAGUCAUUUGUCACAGAUGUUCAUGCAGUUCUGGUGUUUUAUUUUAAGCUGGAUUCAUCAAAUGUGCUAAGGAGUAAUUUCUGUCUGAUAUGAAGUUCCCAUCAAAGGAGACUGAGUGGUUUAAGUUUAAACCGUGGUUUGAAAAUACAGGGAAAUGUUACUGGACCGGUGACGGUUUGAUUCAGUAGCCAAAGUGGACACAAGGAAGUAAAUUGAAGAAUACUAUUUUUGGCCAAAAUACGUCAGGAAGAUACAUCACUAAUAUAUUACUGUGGAACAGUGACUUUACCUUUUAGAAGAUGGUUUUAUCUAUGCAGCACAAAGAUUUUACUGCAGGCAUCUGAAUUAUGUAGAUUAUAAAGGGUACCGAUGCCGUUGGAAGGCAAGCAUGAAAUGGUGAUGUGUGAAUCUCAGAUAUUUGAGCAUUUACUGUAUUUGAGCAAUAUUUGCUGACCACUUUUACAGUAUUUUGCAAGUUUAUAAUAUAGGUUUAGUAUUAGUUUUAUUUAGUGAAAAUGGGGGAGGUAAGCAGUACUGUAAUACUGAUUUCGGGUUUUUUUGAUAGGCCAGUUAUCAUAUUUAGCAAAGUACAACAUGAAUGAGAAGGCCCAGAACUAAGAUUACUUUAAACGGGAGAUUUUUUUUAAAAAAUCAGUAUUGGACUUACUUUUAUUUUGUAUUAGUUGCUCUCUCUUUUAAUAUAAUUUUCUCUUUUGUUAAGUUCCAUCUUUGUUCCUUCAGAAAUACUGUGUCCCGGCCCCAAAAGGGAGAAAUAUAAUGGCUACAAUUAGUUUCUGUUUACUGGAGCAAAAUUAUUUUUUCCCAAACUGAAAUACAUGCAUUAAUUUGCUAGACUUCCAGCAAUUUUUACGUGUGAUAUUUCUGAGAAAGAGAUCGUAAUGUCCAUUUUAAUGCAGCUUACCACAGUAUAGCAGCCGUAAUCGAGCGUUUUUCUCUUUGAUAGUCGGAUAUACAGAAUUGUCAGGCUGUUUGCUUUUAGGUACCUGAAAAGUGAAUUGGAAGAAAGUAUUUUUGAUAUGAUAAGUUUGGCUUUCUAGUCUGUACUUUCUUUUGAAUUUUCUAGGUAAAUGCUGCGCAGAUUGAUUAUCAGAAAAAUUGAGGCUUACGUAACCGGGACAUACAUUUUUCUACUGUCUCCCCCCGACUUAGCUUUCAUUUUACUAUGAAAAAUGAAAAAUUUUGAAAAGAAAAUUACUAUGACAUACUGAUUAUACACACUUUUUCACAGAACUGCACAGCUAAGCUGUUUGUAUUUAUUUAGUAAAAGAAAGCAGCAAGCAAAAUAUUAAAACCUUGAGACGGCUAAACUUUAAAAUUAUAGUCGUCAUUAAAUACAGCUUUAUCUAAUAUGCUGUACCUAGCUGUGUAGCAAUGAGUCUUUUUUCUUUGCAUAGGGAAUUAGAAUACUUCUAUAUAGUCUUUAUUCAGAAUAAGAAAAAUAAGAAUGUUGUACCCCAUUUUUUAUUCGUCGUAAAGCUGAUGUUUCUUCGUAAGAAACUUGAUUUAAUACCUAACUUUCAAAGGAUGAUUUUCACUGAUCGUUGUUGGCAAAAUAUAAGCAAAUGAAUCAGAACUCUGUCCUGGCAGAUAAUUACAAACUGAAUUAACUAAAAAGAAUAAUAUUAAAAUUUUAUCUAAAUAUGUUAACGUGAGCUCUUACCCAUAGGUGGCAGUCAUCUUUCACUGUAGCAGGGAUGCCAAACUUUUGGUUCACAGUAUUCACGCUUACACUGAAAUAAUUUUGAUGAGGUAUGCGUAUGUACAUAAAAAUAUAUAUGUCUGCAUUUUGAGAAAGGGGGAAGAAGGUGAAAUUAACCAUUAAAUUAGUUCGUAAUUAGGAGGAAUCUGAAUUGCUAUGUAUAAGCAAUAAGAUAAGGAAUUAUCGUAUUCUGGAGAAAAGGUCGAGGUAUUUAUAAAAACACAUUUUUUAUCAAUCUAUUGCUGGCACUCCUCUAAACAAAGAAGGGAUAAUUCAGAAAACAGUUAGCCCUAUAAAUUGAGCAGAAAGGCAAGUUUCCAGCUUUAGUGAAUACAAACCUAUAUCGUGCCCAGUCCUCCAAACCACAUUUCUGUUUCAUCACCCUUCAUCUGUAAAUUACAGAAGCACCACAGUGAUGAUGUUGCCCUGGAAAUCCCAGCAAAAAGGUCCCUUGAAUAUUGAGCAAAUACAGAAAAAGUGCUCUGGGUGAGGGUGUCCUUUCAGUCAUGGGGAGCAAGCAGAACCUGCAGGCUGCUGUGCCGUCCUCUGUCUCUUUGCAGGGCUGCGAUCGACACCCGUGGCAGCGCUGUGCAAAGGGAGGACGCUGCCUGCCCGAACAGAGAUCUUCUCAGUUUUGCCAUCAGCUUUUCUGGGGAUUUAUGUGGUUUAUGGGGAUUUCCUUUUGCAAUACCGCUAAGGAGGCACUUGGGACCCCACCAAAACUGGAGGGGAUAGAGGGAGCUAAUAAGGCCAGGUCGUCUCAGGCUAAAACAAACAACUUGUGAAACUACAAAUGUGUCAUAGUGAGACGAUAACAUUCUUCUGAGAAAAGAAGACCGAAACCUGAAAUUCAUGGGUAGGUGAAGUCAUACUCUUUUUUUUUUUCUAUUAUAGCUGCACUGAAACUCUUUUCAGUUAAGAUUAAUCUGAUAUUGUGUCAAGGUAGGCCACUGUACACAUUCAGCAGAGGUCAGAAACUAGCAUUUUACAAAAUAGAAAAUUGGAAAAAUAGACAAUUACGUGUUGCUGUUACAGUGUUUCACUGUGAUGCAAGAUUAAGGGCUCAGAAUUGAGCAGAAUGGUGCAGUAUUAUUAAAACAGAAGGACUAAUUCUCCUUAUGCAAGACUCACGGCAACACACAUCAUUGUAUAAGCCAAAGCAGGCAGUAUGAUUUCAUAGUCACACAGGGUAUUUCCACAGACAGACAACCACAAUGUGACUAAUUAGAUAUUUGCAUAUGCAUGGCCCUAUUUGCUCCCCAACUGUAAUAAUUAGGAGUAUUGCACUUCACAUUAAUUUACACUCUUGUGUAACAUCACUGAAUAUAACAUAGCGGGUGGUGAUAAACUGGCCGGUGACAAAUGGGUAAAUUUGAUACGUUUUGAAAAUCAGAGCUUUCAUAGCCAGCUUUGUCCUUGACAAAGUGGGCAGGGCUAGAGAAGACCUCCUCUGCUGUGGGACCUGAUCGUCUCUAUCACAGGCAGCCGUGUUGCACUCUUCAACUUAACAUGCAGAGACACUGGACUCCAUCUUGAAGCUACCCCUGCCAUCACCUUGCCUCUGUUUUUCUGUUCCUCUGCAUGGUUAAAGAUUUCAGAUCAUGUGUAUCAUGGCCAGCUGAACCUCUCACAUUCUGCAAGGUCUUUGACUUCAGUUUAAAGAGCAUUUCUCUCCCGGUAUAAAGUCCGUUCCUGUCUGCCCACCCUUGAGCUUUUCAGUUUACUGCCGAAACCUGCUCAGCCUGGGUUCAGCCAGACCAGCUGUGCUGUACCUGUCAUACAGAAGGGUGCUUUCCCCUGACUAUUCUUCUAACCCUCCUUUGCACCUCCACUUCCAGUAAAUCUCUUUUAAUCUGUGGGGUUAAAAGUAAGUACAGUGAUCCAGAUGAGAUGUUGCCAGUGCCUCCUGUUAUGGUGGCAUUAAUUCCUUCCCUAUGCCUCCUAGACACAAAGCAACUAAUAUUCUGAUUUUUAAUGCAUUUAUUUUUAUAUUAGACCUACCUGCUCUCAACAUUUCAAAAGCCUUAAGGAUUGACUGAAACACCAAAUUUACCCUUUUUUAAUGCAUACUGACAGCAAAACUUCUUCAUUCCUAGCUUGUGACCUUGACCUUUACACUAUCAUUCUGGUAUUGCAUGACAAGGGUGUCAAAAGGCUUUUUUAUGAAAGGGUGUCGUCACUUUCAUACAAGCCACGGGCUUCCCCUGAAUUUCCCGGCAUGUCCAGAUUUGUUUGGGAUUCUCUGCACUUUGCACGACUAUGGACGUGAGCUGGCACAUGCACACGAUACAGCACAGGGCACUGCAGGUGAGCUAGCUUGGCUCAUGAAACAGAGUUGUCUCUAGGAUUAGGUUACCUGCAGCACAUCACUGUGUGUUAGUUCAGGUAAGCCUUCCAGAAUCUGUACAGCACUUCUGACUCGCUGUCCCACACUGGCUUCAUUUGACAGCUCUGGGAGAAAGAGGCUAAAUUCUGAAAUAUUUUUACAAGAACAACAGAGGAGAUGGACUUAGUGUCUCAUUAUAUUGUUUCUAUUUCUCUUGUAGGUUAAUCUCCAGUUUACAGGUGAUGCUUGUGAAAUUGAAGGAGAAUGUACAGGAUUUGUGUGGCACUCUUGAAUAACAUGUAAAAAUAAGAAUUUUCUCUUUUGAAUCUGGAGGAUUUUGAUUGCUGUGUUUGUGGAAGUUAACUAACAUUAUGACUCUCUAAUUAAAACAAGCAAAAAUCUGUUGGUUUUA